CUGGCAUAAAAGACUGGACCUCAAGAAAUCAUUUUGUUCACCCUUCAGUCCCAGGCAGGAUCAGCUGUCCUUCAGCUGUAUCUGGGUGAUAUUUUUCUGACUUCUCCCAGUCAGCCUGUGGUGGAGAUCCUAAAAUGUUCCUGGAUAGCCUGUCCAGGAGAUGAACUAUCAGCCAGAGGGAACCCUUCCCAAUGCCCCUCCUCCCCCCAGCUCCCUUUCCUGUAAGAUAAGCCCAGCACUUCUUGUGAUAGCAAGCAUGGACAAAGAAAUCUUAUUGCAUUUCUCUGCGCAGCACGCUUUGAAAGGACUUUGCUUUGCUGCCUGCAACUUCCAGGUAACACUUACAGAACAAUGAGAUCCUGAAAGUGAGACUCAAGAUUCCUGCCUCAGCCCCUGGACCAUCUGCUUUUUCCAGUUCAGAUUCACUAGAUGUAGUCUCCAGAGGAGCAUUCGUCUUCUCAGCUGCACUGGCUGGUGUACUGCAGCUGUAUCCAGGAGAACCGAGACCUUUCUUUCUCUUCCCAGUGUCUACCACGUCUCCUCAGGCUGCAGUUCUUCCUUCACAUUUCUUCUGUGUAACAGAUAACAAAAACCUCCCUGGAUGGUCAAUAAUCCAUUUAGUUCAUCAGGCAAGAUCUCCAGUGCCAGAUGGUAUCUGGUCUUUUGAUUCAGCUCUGAGAUGUACUAGUGGAAAACCACAGGCAGACAAAAAGCUCCCUGUUGACUACAUAUCUACGCAGGAGCACACGCAAACCACGCUCUAG
rnacentral:lncRNA from 1 species